rnacentral:rRNA from 1 species
GGCGGCUCCCCGCUUCCCCGUAAAACGGGAGCGGCCCGCCAGAGGACCCAACAAACUCUGUUAUUUUCAGUAUCUUCUGAGUAAAAACACAAUCAAUUAAAACUUUCAACAACGGAUCUCUUGGUUCUGGCAUCGAUGAAGAACGCAGCGAAAUGCGAUAAGUAAUGUGAAUUGCAGAAUUCAGUGAAUCAUCGAAUCUUUGAACGCACAUUGCGCCCGCCAGUACUCUGGCGGGCAUGCCUGUUCGAGCGUCAUUACAUCCCUCAAGCCCCAGCGGCUUGGUGUUGGGCUUCGGCCGUCCUCAGCGGCGGCCGUGCCCCAAAUACAGUGGCGGUCUCGCCCCCGGCUCCUCUGCGUAGUAGUAACAUCUCGCACUGGGACGGAGCGAAGGCCACGCCGUAAAACAACCCAACUUUCUGAAUGUUGACCUCGGAUCAGGUAGGAAUACCCGCUGAACUUAAGCAUAUC